rnacentral:lncRNA from 1 species
CCUUAUGCCAAUAGGAUAUGUAGUUAGACUAGAUCUAUGUAUUCAUAUCCUUACUAUAUUGGUAUUGUGUAAUUCCCUAUAUAAAGGGCUCCUAUCAAUGAAUAAGAUGACUCUCUUGCUAUCUCUUUGUCUCUACACUUUAUUCUUCAUCACGUUAUCAUGCACUUUGUUCUAACUCUAGAGCCAUUAGCCCACCAUUUUUUUUUCCAAACCCUAAAAACCAAAACCCUAAAAUCGGGCAGCCUUGUUUUUCCCGAUUUCCGACCAAAAUUCCGACUGCCCUCCGCCGGAAUUUUAUAUCCCCAGAAAGCUCUUUCCGUCACGGAUCCAACGCCGCCGGCCUCACCCUGAGAACCGGCCGGAAAGUCUCCGAACCGGCCGCCGGAAAAUUCCAGACCGCCGCCGCUACCGACCACCGGUUCACCACCUUCCUUUGCUCCGAUCAACCUGAAAUUUUGACAGAAGCUUCCCCAUCCAGAGCAGCUCCUCCUGUCAAAUUUUCAGCCCCAAAUUCGAAGUAUAAGUAGGCGAAACGUUAUUUCUCCUCUCGGCAGCCUUUAGAAAGGUAUGUUUUGAAACCUUAAACUCUUCCAAGUUCAAUAACUCGGGGAGGAUAAAAUCAUUUCCUCCCUUCUCCAUCUCCAUUCUAUGAUUGGGAUUUUGUGUGUACAGGUACCAAAAAUCCCGGAAUUUUAUUCGUGGGUCAAGAGUAUGUUGGAUCACUCUUGUUUCUUUGUCCGGGUUGUGUUUGAUCAACCCCGACCUUUCACCGGAUUGUGUUUGAUCAAUCUGAGGCCUUUUUCCGAAUUGUGUUUGAUCAAUUCGCGGCUUUUCCGGAUUGUGUAUGAUCAAUCCGAAGGACAAACCAUUAAAAGCAUCGUUUGUGACCUCUAUCGAGUCUCAUAACAGCUUGGUUUUGUAUGCAAGAGCAAUGUAACAUUCUGCUCCUUUGAGUUUUGACGUACUAGAUGCCUAAGGCGGAUCUUCGCUUGGUAUCUGUGAAACCUUUCAUUGGAAAGGAUUAAACCACAUGUUUUGACCCCCAGGCUAACAGGC